rnacentral:rRNA from 1 species
CACUAUCGUUAACUGAAUACAUAGGUUAACGAGGCGAACCGGGGGAACUGAAACAUCUAAGUACCCCGAGGAAAAGAAAUCAACCGAGAUUCCCCCAGUAGCGGCGAGCGAACGGGGAGCAGCCCAGAGUCUGAAUCAGCUUGUGUGUUAGUGGAACGGUCUGGAAAGUCCGACGGUACAGGGUGAUAGUCCCGUACACCAAAAUGCACAGGCUGUGAACUCGAAGAGUAGGGCGGGACACGUGGUAUCCUGUCUGAAUAUGGGGGGACCAUCCUCCAAGGCUAAAUACUCCUGACUGACCGAUAGUGAACCAGUACCGUGAGGGAAAGGCGAAAAGAACCCCGGCGAGGGGAGUGAAAAAGAACCUGAAACCGUGUACGUACAAGCAGUGGGAGCACCUUCGGGUGUGACUGCGUACCUUUUGUAUAAUGGGUCAGCGACUUAUAUUCUGUAGCAAGGUUAACCGUAUAGGGGAGCCGCAGGGAAACCGAGUCUUAACUGGGCGUUAAGUUGCAGGGUAUAGACCCGAAACCCGGUGAUCUAGCCAUGGGCAGGUUGAAGGUUGGGUAACACUAACUGGAGGACCGAACCGACUAAUGUUGAAAAAUUAGCGGAUGACUUGUGGCUGGGGGUGAAAGGCCAAUCAAACCGGGAGAUAGCUGGUUCUCCCCGAAAGCUAUUUAGGUAGCGCCUCGUGAACUCAUCUUCGGGGGUAGAGCACUGUUUCGGCUAGGGGGUCAUCCCGACUUACCAACCCGAUGCAAACUACGAAUACCGAAGAAUGUUAUCACGGGAGACACACGGCGGGUGCUAACGUCCGUCGUGAAGAGGGAAACAACCCAGACCGCCAGCUAAGGUCCCAAAGUCAUGGUUAAGUGGGAAACGAUGUGGGAAGGCACAGACAGCCAGGAUGUUGGCUUAGAAGCAGCCAUCAUUUAAAGAAAGCGUAAUAGCUCACUGGUCGAGUCGGCCUGCGCGGAAGAUGUAACGGGGCUAAACCAUGCACCGAAGCUGCGGCAGCGACACUAUGUGUUGUUGGGUAGGGGAGCGUUCUGUAAGCCUGCGAAGGUGUGCUGUGAGGCAUGCUGGAGGUAUCAGAAGUGCGAAUGCUGACAUAAGUAACGAUAAAGCGGGUGAAAAGCCCGCUCGCCGGAAGACCAAGGGUUCCUGUCCAACGUUAAUCGGGGCAGGGUGAGUCGACCCCUAAGGCGAGGCCGAAAGGCGUAGUCGAUGGGAAACAGGUUAAUAUUCCUGUACUUGGUGUUACUGCGAAGGGGGGACGGAGAAGGCUAUGUUAGCCGGGCGACGGUUGUCCCGGUUUAAGCAUGUAGGCUGGUUGUCCAGGCAAAUCCGGAUAAUCAAGGCUGAGGUGUGAUGACGAGGCACUACGGUGCUGAAGUAACAAAUGCCCUGCUUCCAGGAAAAGCCUCUAAGCAUCAGGUAACAUUAAAUCGUACCCCAAACCGACACAGGUGGUCAGGUAGAGAAUACCAAGGCGCUUGAGAGAACUCGGGUGAAGGAACUAGGCAAAAUGGUGCCGUAACUUCGGGAGAAGGCACGCUGGUGUGUAGGUGAAGUCCCUGCGGAUGGAGCUGAGACCAGUCGAAGAUACCAGCUGGCUGCAACUGUUUAUUAAAAACACAGCACUGUGCAAACACGAAAGUGGACGUAUACGGUGUGACGCCUGCCCGGUGCCGGAAGGUUAAUUGAUGGGGUUAUCCGUAAGGAGAAGCUCUUGAUCGAAGCCCCGGUAAACGGCGGCCGUAACUAUAACGGUCCUAAGGUAGCGAAAUUCCUUGUCGGGUAAGUUCCGACCUGCACGAAUGGCGUAAUGAUGGCCAGGCUGUCUCCACCCGAGACUCAGUGAAAUUGAACUCGCUGUGAAGAUGCAGUGUACCCGCGGCAAGACGGAAAGACCCCGUGAACCUUUACUAUAGCUUGACACUGAACAUUGAGCCUUGAUGUGUAGGAUAGGUGGGAGGCUUUGAAGCGUGGACGCCAGUCUGCGUGGAGCCAACCUUGAAAUACCACCCUUUAAUGUUUGAUGUUCUAACGUUGGCCCCUGACCGGGGUUGCGGACAGUGUCUGGUGGGUAGUUUGACUGGGGCGGUCUCCUCCCAAAGCGUAACGGAGGAGCACGAAGGUUAGCUAAUCCUGGUCGGACAUCAGGAGGUUAGUGCAAUGGCAUAAGCUAGCUUGACUGCGAGCGUGACGGCGCGAGCAGGUGCGAAAGCAGGUCAUAGUGAUCCGGUGGUUCUGAAUGGAAGGGCCAUCGCUCAACGGAUAAAAGGUACUCCGGGGAUAACAGGCUGAUACCGCCCAAGAGUUCAUAUCGACGGCGGUGUUUGGCACCUCGAUGUCGGCUCAUCACAUCCUGGGGCUGAAGUAGGUCCCAAGGGUAUGGCUGUUCGCCAUUUAAAGUGGUACGCGAGCUGGGUUUAGAACGUCGUGAGACAGUUCGGUCCCUAUCUGCCGUGGGCGCUGGAGAAUUGAGGGGGGCUGCUCCUAGUACGAGAGGACCGGAGUGGACGCAUCACUGGUGUUCGGGUUGUCAUGCCAAUGGCACUGCCCGGUAGCUAAAUGCGGAAGAGAUAAGUGCUGAAAGCAUCUAAGCACGAAACUUGCCCCGAGAUGAGUUCUCCCUGAGACUUUAAGUCUCCUGAAGGAACGUUGAAGACGACGACGUUGAUAGGCCGGGUGUGUAAGCGCAGCGAUGCGUUGAGCUAACCGGUACUAAUGAACCGUGAGGCUUAACCUU